UACAGAGGGGGCAAGCGUUGUUCGGAAUUACUGGGCGUAAAGGGCGCGUAGGCGGCCUUCUAAGUCGAACGUGAAAUCCCCGGGCUCAACCCGGGAACUGCGUCCGAUACUGGAAGGCUUGAAUCCGGGAGAGGGAUGUGGAAUUCCAGGUGUAGCGGUGAAAUGCGUAGAUAUCUGGAGGAACACCGAUGGCGAAGGCAGCCCCCUGGGUUAACACUGACGCUCAGGCACGAAAGCGUGGGGAGCAAACAGG
rnacentral:rRNA from 1 species